UACGGGGGGAGCAAGCGUUGUUCGGAUUUACUGGGCGUAAAGGGCGCGUAGGCGGCCACCGCGAGUCGACUGUGAAAUCUCCGGGCUUAACCCGGAAAGGUCAGCCGAUACUGCGGGACUAGAGUACAGAAGGGGCAACUGGAAUUCUCGGUGUAGCGGUGAAAUGCGUAGAUAUCGAGAGGAACACCUGCGGCGAAGGCGGGUUGCUGGGCUGAUACUGACGCUGAGGCGCGAAAGCCAGGGGAGCGAACGGG
rnacentral:rRNA from 1 species